AAGAUGGUGAAAAAGAGAGAAAGUGAGGGGGGCGGGGGGGUUGAUAGAGAGUGUUGCGCUGCAGACACACGAGACCACCGUCGCUUCACCGCCGGAGAGCCAGGGCUCAGCGGUUGGGCCCCAGAGAAAUUGGCUGGCCCUCUUUCCACUUCUCUUUCGAAGCGAUAUUAAACACAAACAGAAGGGGCCUCGCCGUUGAAACAAAGCCCUGAUGUCACGCCGCUUAUUUUCUUUGGAAGGUAACAGGAGUGCUCUGGCCAACCCCUGGCGAUAUGAGACCCCCGUAAGAAUGUGCCGUGAAUGGCUGGUGGUGAGGCCUCUCGCGUCAAUCAAGCCCACCGCAGAGUUACUUCUGGUGAUGCCUGAUAUUCUUACAGCUCUGAGGGGAGCAGGGCCGACACACCAGGCUUUGAGCAGGUUUCCGUUAGGAGGAGGAGGAGGGAGAAAUGGAUCGACUGCCACUAAGCUGGCCCACACAGAGGGAGGAUGGAGGCUAAAUAUUGCACUUGGAGGCUCACUCUGCAUCCAAGACAGUGAAAGGGAAACAUUGAGAGGCAGGCUGCAUAAAGACAAUCUCACUUCCACUUCUCUUUUGUGGAGCAGAUGCUUAGUUUUGUAAAUCGAGACAAACAAAAUUGAUUGCCUUCCAAUCAUUGUCAUCUCCUUAUGAAAAGAAAGUCGUGACAUGGUGUAUUCCUCACCGUCGUCUCCACGCCUCAAACACAGGAACAGAAACAUAGAGACUAACAACGAGAGAUGUCUUGAGAUGAUUUCAACAAAAAGGUCGGCUAAGCAACUGUAUUUCACUCGACAAAGGAAUCCUCUGUUUGUGAAGGGGUCUGCUCCGAGGCUCUGGAAACAAUUGGUCUGAUCGAGUUCCCACGCUGAUAGCACGACAAUGUGCUAUCAAAACUCUCAUGUCGGGUCAAGUACCAUCAGACAGUGUCUGGCAAACAUUUGAAAGAUGUGUUCAAUUAAUUGAGUCUUUGCCCACCUGACCAUCAGUGCCUGCUCUCUGCCUGAAGGGUGUCUACGGGGCAGAACAACAAAACAUCUGGAAGAGUCUCGCUACAACAUCUGUCCAUCCUUUGCUCAACAAAUAUCUAGGUUUGAUGCCAGCCGGUGUGCACUUGACCUCAUUACGUAGCGGAGGAGAUUGCUAGCGUAGAACUAACGUGGUGUAAUUGUGUAUUUAUAACGCUUUUUUAAUAUGCUAAUGCACAGUUUCACACACUGGAGAAGAGGCUGUUCUGAAAGGAAGCGUAACUGAGACUAAUAAGUAAAAAAUACUAAAAAAACAGACAAGAUCUCAGUGAACACUCGACGGCCAUGUCAAUACAUUACCAUCGACUUUACAGUAGAGUACAGUACAGUUAAAUAACUUAGUGACUCUGCAAAAGGCGUUAUUUUACAAGCAGCAAAGGGAAAACUCCUAGUAUUAAUUGGUGAUGAAUGACUCUUUAAUGCAUCAAUUAAACCAUACGUUCCCCCAAUAUAUUCUAUAUGAUAUACUGUAAGUACAGUACAGUCUUUUAAAGAGUGCAGCAGCACAUUUGGUCUCAGUUCACAUAUCACUAACAUGACAAGCUGCAAACAGCACAGAGUCAAAGGGUCAAGGCUCGAGGCAAAGGCAAGAGACAGCUCUCAUGCGUGAUUAAUAAGUCAUGAGUAAAGACACAAGAAGUGAGAUAGCAAUGCUCUGCGUUAAGAAAAACAUCCACUUUCAGUAAAUGUGACAUUCUCCAUGCUGUCGCUGUCCCUCACCUCCGGAUAGGCAGAGCCAAUGAAGAGAGCAGACCCGUUGUUGGGAAAGAGAGAGACACUGUGGCACUACUGCGUAACCACGAUGGCUUCAUGAAGAGCAAAGGGCUUUAAGAUAGUGGCAAUCAAGAGAACACAAGCACCACACGCUAUGUCUACAAUUAGUUACAAGACAAGAUGCAUCAGUAUGUGAUGGAUUGUCAUGUGUUCGCUGUAUGUUGAGAAAUCAAACCAUGACUCAGCUAUCUAAAGGUGUUUGGGUAGGAUCACUUCCUGGACUAAAAGGUAACAUGCAAAAGUCCAACAAGAACUAUUUCGAUGACGUUAUUUCAAUGACAUAGUCGCGUUGGACUUAUUCCUUAGUUUGAGUGUUUAACAAGAAUUUUUUUGUGAUUUUUACAAUGUUCUGCAAUGUUUGGAAUAACAGAAACCGUUUUAUAGAUUGACGAAUUGCUCAAUUACUAACACAUUUCCUGAGGGGAACCCUGUGGACCUUUCCGACACACCAACAUGCAGCUCACACACCGCAAAGACACUCCAAAAUGAUGCAAACUAUACACUACAUAAGACUUGUCUAUAUGUAUAGAGGGGUUAAGAGGAGGUGUUGAUUCAAUUCAAGCAGCAGAACUGUAUCAUUUUCACAAAGUAUGCAUUAAUUGCGAGGCGUUUAGACUGAGUAGCAGUAGGCCUACACCAUGCAGGUGUUUUUAUUGUAUCCAUUCUCUCUUAGUUCUGUACGCUGUAAGCACUACUUUAGUACAAAGAAAGCUACUGGCACAUUUUGGAGAUUAAGACACAAACGAGUACAACCCAUAAAUCUCAUCAUGAUUGCUUUUGGCGGAGGCAUUGUUGUCAAAACAAUGUCCAAACAUGUGCUGGAAGCCAGCGCCUCCGUCUCACAAAAUUCCUCAGAUAAUCAUCCCAUUUUUUCUCUCACGAACACUUCCCCGCGCUCUGUGUCGAUUUCAGCCAGCGCUGUGAUGAGAAGCUUCCCCUUUCAUUCAGGUUCCUCUCCGCCUCUCAUUCUCCAUGUCUGAAGCAGUGUUUAAAUGUGAAUGAGUUUGCAUCUCCGACAUCAUUCAUCCUCUUACCUCUCACUGGUGCAGAGAGGUAAGAGACUCUUUUGAUGUUUUCAAAGCCAGGAGUGGAGAUUCAGGCUCUGAUUCCUCUCUGCACAGCACGGCGCUUUGCUAAGUCAAUAGCAGCUAAUGAGGGCCUCGACAAGCAGAAACCACAAUGCAAAUUGAAUAAACUGAGAUAAGGAUUCUUGUAACAUCCAAAAGCAAUGCCAUGGUAAUGACUGACAUCAUGAAGCGAUAUUGUUUGCCAGUGAAAAAGCUUUUGUUCGUGUCGCUGAUAGAAAGGUGGCGGGGUCGUGUUGUGAAAUCCCAGACCUCCUUUAGGGAGAAGCGAUUCCAUUUUUCUUUGUGUUUCUUUUUUCCUUCUUUUGCAAAUAUGUUCAAUGAUAACCAUUAUGGAUAAGUGCUAUUCUCAAACCACAGGUGUCAAGCGGCAAUAAAAUAUUUGAUGAAUUGCCCGAGCCAGGUGUUGUGCUGGUGGGGCGGAAUUCCUCCGUGAUUUAUCAUCGCAGCUUUUGUCUGACACUGACAGGCAGCAUAUAGGAGGACUUGAGCUUCAACUUUAAUCAACGCAUCGUGUUAUUUUAUUGCAAAACUCAUUCGAAUAAAUGUUGAAAUAAACCUGUGAUGUGAGCCGAUGAAUGCAUGUUGGAACUCCUCCGACUUACAUCUGUCAUAAUUCAGAUUUUAUGGGUCUUUUGGGGAAUAUUUUCUAUAUUAUCAGAUUCAUAUUUAGCCCAGUCUGCUCUGAUUGGUUAGCUGUCCGGCUCUGUUGUGAGUGGGCAACCACUUAGAAAUGUCCCGCCCCUUAGUCCAGUGGUUCUCAA